rnacentral:tRNA from 1 species
UUCUAAUGUGGCAGAAUAGUGUGAUGGAUUUAAACCCCGUUUAUAAAAUUUUAAUUUUCUUUAGA